rnacentral:lncRNA from 1 species
GAACUAAAUUAAUCUAGAAAGUAGAUUUUUAUAUCAUUCAAGAUAAGGAGAAGCCCAGAUUAAAUAUAUAAAAUUGUUGUUAUUUACACAGCUAACUUCCCGCUUUGAAAACAAUCCCAUACGUAAAUUUCUUUUUUGGAGCAAGGUAACUUGGUGAUUGUUCUAUCUCUACCCAAAAUUCACCCCUAUUUGGAAAACUGGGGGCUAAAAGCAAUCAGAAUUCACCAGUUCAAAAACACUUACGUCCAUCUUAUUAGCAACACUAACUACCCAGAGGAAACUAAAAUAGACCAGAUUUACAGCAGUAAGUAAAUCUAAUUGUAAUUUAAACAUUACCUUAUUUUAGCAAAAGGUGAAGGGAAUCAAACGCUAGGGGGCAGCAUCAAACUGUUGUGGGUUAGGCUGGGCAGCCUUGCAAACUUUAAGCUUUAGGGUAUUUUUAAUGAGAAUUACACUUACAUAAAAGAUGAAUUAUAAAACUUCCGUUAUAAAGGAAAAAACUAGUUGUUUUGAUUCCCUACAUUUCUCUUCCAUUUCCCAUUGUGUACUUUCUUUUGCAACUAUGACUGGUAUCACUUUAAAAUGCACUAGUAAUAAUGUCCUUCUGAUACUAAACUCAUGGCAUUUCCAAUACUGAGGUAAGCACUAUAUAAACACAAGCUGACAUUUUUAGCCUAACCAUAAUGGUUAAGUUUUGAUUCACUCAAUUAGCAUUUUAAACUUAAUUAAAGAGCUUGACAAGCUCUGCAUAUUCAUGUGUCAUAAGCAGUAUGUGACAAAAAAAACUGUGCAGUAUGUACCCCCUCACGAAAUUUAGUUUGGCAGGGAAAACAAGAUGCACAUGUUAUUAUAAAUUAGAAAAUGGAAGAGAAGUAGAAAUAAAUCCAUGAGUAUUAUAUAUAAGUAACAGAACAAAAACAACAGGAUAAUGUAUCCCCCCCAAAGGCCCAGUAGAGACCAUCAAAGCUCAUUCUGGGGGUAGUCAAGGAGGGAGUGGAGGGAGAAAAAGAACGCAGACCUUCAACCACUAAUGAAAGAACUGAAACAUCUGUAUGUAGAAAAAAGGUAAAAUCAACUCACUAUCAUCUUCAGCCUUUUGGUUAUCUCAUUUAAUGGUCACAGUUAAGUCCGUGAGUAGGGUUUUUGUACUUGAAGUUCAAAUAGAAGAUUAAGAUAAGCAACUUCCUCAAGGUAAGCAAACUAAUUAAUAGAGGAGUCUUGACUUGAGGCUUUCAAUUGCAUACUAAGUUAGAAGGAACUAAGUUCUACAUCUCCAGCUUUUCCAUUACUUGCUUUUUCUUAAUUAUGUACAAUUUAGAUACACAUCCAAAAAGAAAACAAAUACAAACCUAUUCUAGUUUUGC